GGUAGGGUUGCAACAAAAUUAAAGACCAAAAUAACUUGUGUUCAAAGUUUGCAGGCAUAAAACGUGAUGUUACUUCAAGGUUUGGAUACAGACUUCAUAAAUAUUCAGGGCUGAAGGUCGCAAGCCGAGGUCUGAGAAGAUUUGUAAGUCAGUGGAAUUUCUGCUUUGGAUGAAAUAACUCACGGUUGUAAAUCUAUGUGCUAGCACACUUCUUAAGCAAGAUACAGUACAGGGAAACUACAAAUAGUGUCUACGUUCCUUCUAUGUGGCUGAGAUUAGAAGACUGUUAACAAUAGAGAGUGGGAAAUCUGGGACUGGAACGUCAAGAACAAACCGCAGAAGAAGAGAUUGAGGAGCCCAAAACCAUACUCCGCACUUGAGGUGUGGCCUUACCAGUGCCAAGUACAGAGAGAUGAUCACCUCCUCGCUCCUGCUGGCCACACUAUUUUUGAUAUUUUUUGUAUAUUUUUGAUACAGAUGAAGAUCCCAUCGGCCUUCUUGGCAACCUGGCACCCUGCUGGCUCAUUUUCAGCAAGUUGUUGACCAGCACCUCCAGGACUAUUUCUGUCAAGCAACGUGUGAACCAGCCUUCCCCAAGCUUCGUUGUUUUGUUGCUACCCAAGUGCAGCACAUGACACUUAGCCUUGUUGAAUGUCAUUUUUAUUGGAUUUGGCCCAUUGAUCUAGUCCAUCCAGAUCCCUCUGCAAAGACUUCCUACACUAAGGGAUAUUAGCAAUCCUGACUUACUCACUGUAGUCUGUGAACUUACUGAGGAUGUACUCAAUUCUCUCAUUCUGACCAUUGAUUAAAAUGUUAAACAAAAGUGGCUUAAAGAUUGAGCCCUGUGGAAUGCCACUGAUGACAAGUUACCAACUGGACUGAACUCCAUUUGCUAGAACUCUUUGAGUCUGGCCACUCAGCCACUUCUUUGCCCAGAGAACUGUACACCUGUCCAAGCUAUGUGCAGCCAGUUCUUAUUCAGGAGAAUUCCGUGAGAAACAGUUAUACACUUUGGUCAGUCAGGACUUUCCGUUCACAAACACAAGCUGACUUGUUCUGACCACUGAAUUGUCCCUUCUUUGCUGUAUGAUGGCAUUCAAGAUGAUCAGGCCUAGACUCAGUAUAUGUAGCUCCUUCUGGCAUGAAACAGGUCCAUACAUGAUUGAAGUUAGUUGUCAUAUGCCAGUUUUGUUCAUUUCCUGAUAUUCUUUUUCUCUUCACACUUCCGUGAGAAAUUUAAACCCAAAGGAUUUCUUGAAAUACUGUUCACAUCUGAAAACUGGAAGUCAAAUAAUAAAAAUAUCCUGUUUGAUAUGAGGUCAAUCAUUAACGUAGACAAGGAAAAUUCACAGAGAAGAAUGCUCAGUAUCAAUAAAUUGUCCAAACACUUUUAUAGAAUACACAAAAGUAUUUACGGGGGGGUUAUAAGGAAACAGCAAUCAUUUCUACAGUUGAUCCAUUGUUGUAAAAACGGCCAAAAGGAACAGCUGAGUGAAUAAUUUCGUCAACAUCCUUUCCUCCCCUACACACGAACAUAACCAACUGCAGUGUGUUGAGAAAGAUACUAAUUAUUCAGCCUGUGCAGUUUUGUUUAAGACAUCUGCAAAAUGGAAAUCAAUAAAACCUGAUGUUUUGGAAAAAAGAAUGUUCUAAGCUCUUUUGAACAUUUUUUUCUAACCAUAUUAACUGUGAGUAUGCAAGUUGGCAUAUCAUAUUAGAAAUGACUGGUUAGAUCAGUGAGGAAAGUGAUCUCUGUUUUUGCAGAUUUCUACAUUUGUAAAUGCAGUUUAAAAGAAGGAUAGCAUAUAAAAUUGGAAGACUUUCUUGUUUUUUUCUAAAUUAUGAAAUGAUACAUUAAAACAUAUUUUGUGGGCGCUGUUUACUACUGGGAAGGCAUGUAAUUAUUCUUUUUUUUUUUUUUUUAAUGAAACAUUCACUAAAUAGCUGUUAUAUUGAAUAAAUAAUACAAAACACCCAGAGAGUUGUAUCACAAUUGCAAAGUAAGCAUACUUUUGAUUAUAUUGCUUUAGAAGUGAUGGGAAAUAAAAUUGCUGAUAUUUCUCAAUAAUUAUGCGUCCCAUAGGUAUUUUCUUCUCCCUAAAACAGAGGAGUAAACAAAUGCACUGAGCCAUUACAUUUCUGUAAUGACUUGCAAAAUCUACUGCUAAGAAACUUUUUGGAAAAACUGUUGGGUAAUUGAGCAUAUUAGUCUGAAUGGAGAGCUCUGAUUCAAAAGUAUUUUAGAUCCGCUUUACGUAGUUACAGUGCAAGAGUAGAGAAUUCAGGACACUUUAAAAUCUCACAAAGAGUUACUCGUGGUAGCUGUACUUCCUUUUAAUAAAGAACAUGAUUUUCAAGGUAGUUGUAAUCAAAUAUCAUGGAUGUAAUUGAAAUGAGUUUGCAGCCUUAAGAGAUUAUUACAAGAAGUACAUUUGUAAAGAUUUAAUUCAGUGUACAUAAAAAUUAAAUUUAAGUAACAAUUUGGAUUGGAUAC